rnacentral:lncRNA from 1 species
ACAUGGCAUUUAUGACUCAGGUGAUUGGUUGAAUAAGUGUGCACUUAUGAGCAAAGCUGGCACAUUUCAAAUCACCAAGGCCUUGUGCCAGCUAAGUAACAACUUCCUUUAGAUAUUUUAGGCUUCUAUGAAUACCACAAAAUGACAUCUGUGAAAUAAACAAAAGUUAACAUCACAAACAACAGUGCAACAGCACCAAAACAAAGAUCCUGCAUGUCAGAUUGCUCUCGAUCUGGGAAAAUCAAAACAGAACCUUUCCGUGCAGCUCGCAGGUCCAUCUUUCAUCUUCAGGAGAGGGAAGUGUGCCAGACCUGUUUGCUGAGGCUCUGCUGGAUCUGUACUUCUUGUACAGGUUGCUUCCUGGAUGAUACAGGCUUGGGCCGUGUGCCAUUGCCAGCCCGUGUAUGGAGAUAGUGCCGCCUCCGCAGUGCAUUGACAUGCAAACCAGAUCCCACUAGAGACAUGGAGAGAAGUAUCAAACCGAGGACUGACUGAUGAAUGACUAAGGUUUGCUUAAAGGUUACCGUCUCCUCUUUUCUUUCUUUCUAUCGCUCUUUCUCUCUCCUGUC